ACUGGAUAUGAGCUCUCAUCGCAUGGUGGGGGUUGGAAAGAUUUUUCGGUCUGGGAUGGGCUCGCGGCCUAUCAGCUUGUUGGUGAGGUAAUGGCUCACCAAGGCGUCGACGGGUAGCCGGCCUGAGAGGGUGACCGGCCACACUGGGACUGAGACACGGCCCAGACUCCUACGGGAGGCAGCAGUGGGGAAUAUUGCACAAUGGGCGGAAGCCUGAUGCAGCAACGCCGCGUGAGGGAUGACGGCCUUCGGGUUGUAAACCUCUUUUAGCAGGGAAGAAGCGAGAGUGACGGUACCUGCAGAAAAAGCGCCGGCUAACUACGUGCCAGCAGCCGCGGUAAUACGUAGGGCGCAAGCGUUAUCCGGAAUUAUUGGGCGUAAAGAGCUCGUAGGCGGUUUGUCGCGUCUGCUGUGAAAUCCCGAGGCUCAACCUCGGGCCUGCAGUGGGUACGGGCAGACUAGAGUGCGGUAGGGGAGAUUGGAAUUCCUGGUGUAGCGGUGGAAUGCGCAGAUAUCAGGAGGAACACCGAUGGCGAAGGCAGAUCUCUGGGCCGUAACUGACGCUGAGGAGCGAAAGGGUGGGGAGCAAACAGGCUUAGAUACCCUGGUAGUCCACCCCGUAAACGUUGGGAACUAGUUG
rnacentral:rRNA from 1 species